UACGUAGGUGGCAAGCGUUGUCCGGAAUUAUUGGGCGUAAAGCGCGCGCAGGCGGUCCUUUAGGUCUGAUGUGAAAGCCCACGGCUCAACCGUGGAGGGUCAUUGGAAACUGGGGGACUUGAGUGCAGAAGAGGAAAGCGGAAUUCCACGUGUAGCGGUGAAAUGCGUAGAGAUGUGGAGGAACACCAGUGGCGAAGGCGGCUUUCUGGUCUGUAACUGACGCUGAGGCGCGAAAGCGUGGGGAGCAAACAGG
rnacentral:rRNA from 1 species